rnacentral:lncRNA from 1 species
CACACUCUGACUUUGCUUCUUGAAAAGCAAUGAUACUCAUGUGCUGCAUCAUGAUGUCUUGGUCAGCGAGGGACCGCAUGUACGAUGCUGGUCCCGUAAGAUCAGCACCGUGGAGCCUGGCCGAGCAGCAGGCUAGACAGCCUAGGAUUGCGUGAGCACAAGGACGGCAUCACCGAACGACACAUUUCUCAGAGCGUGUCCCGUGGCUCAGUGACACUGACUGGACACAUGAAUACGGUAGAGACGGUUCAUUGAACCCUUCACAGUGGGCUAACAGAUAUAAACGUGGAGUGAUGCCCUUUUAUCUUUUAAAGUUCUAUUUUACUUGGUUAUUUAUAAGACAAGAUACUUUCAUUUUAAUUAUAAUUGCUUUAUGGAUUAAUUAUCACAGUGAUUAUAUGAAUAUUUAAUACAACUUUAUGGUGUUUACCCACAGUAUCUUGAAAAUUAGCUCUUGUGUAUCAACAGGCCGGUGUGAAUAAUUCAUAUUCAUAAAUGCAGCUUGACUUUCAUUAGCAACGACUCCUGGAAGAUAUGUGAGCAUAUUACUGAAAAUGUGAGCUCUGGGAGUGAGUCGAAGUAAUUCUUUAUUUAUACAAACACCACAGCAGCUUAAAUGUCGGAAAAUUUCUUGGAUAAAAUCUCUUUCUUUGUAAUGUUGUUUUUCAGCAUUUCAGCAAUGCCUUCAAGAAAUCGUUGUUUCUAUUUCUCAUCUCCUAAUAAGGUCCUGCUCUCUGACUUCAUAUGCACCAGUUCUCUGUGCUCGUCAGACACAGAUUUCGGUGUGAUCAGAUGCCCCUGUGCAUUGGGGUUUGAACGACUUGAUUUCAGUGUUGAUUCUCCAUUAACGUUUUCGCCUCUGUCUCGUGACGAUUUCCACGGUGGACGCAGAGUCGAGCUGCGUGUGGUUCAUCUGUGACGUUCGUCCUGCGUGAUGGUGGAGACACCCAGAAUUCUCCAUCCUGUGCUCAUGACCCUCUGAAACACUGGUGCUGACCAGCCUCUGGGAGUGGCUGCCCCCUCAGGAGCAGUCAGCACCAUCGCUGCUUUGGGCCCACAGGCAACACCGCUUCUGUGGUUGCUGCCGGUUUGCGCUGCUGUGUGGGGCCCGCUCCAGGCUGACCCAUGUCACCCGCACCUCACCUCUGCUUGGGUGUCCACAGCCUGCGGCAAAGAGGCACUGCUGGACGAGAGGCCCUCCUCGGUUCAGAUUCCUUGUUAGUAGCUGAUUUAUUUAACCGCUGCUCACUUACUACCCCAGUUCCACCAGGGCAGACAUCCAUGUUGUUCACCUCUGCAGGCUGGUGUGUAACACGGGGCCUGGAAUACAGGAGGAGCUCAACCGACGUUCAGUGGCUUGGUUCAGCUUGGGGAGAACACUGACUGUUGGCCCGUUCCUACCCUCCUCACAGACCCUUCGCCCUGUGCACACACCGUGCGCUGGAAGCAGCAGGCCCCCAGGUCUGAGGCACCAGUUUUCCAGGGAGAUAGAUACAGCUACCUUCAGGUCAGCCCUUUGAAAGUCACGCUGACUCAGGUCACGACUCUGGCAUCUCCCUCCCAACAUGGUCCUCCCAUGGGGGCUCCCCCACGGUCACAGUGACUCAAGCAACGACCUCACAAACACAACCUGUGGACCAUACUGUCUCCAGAUUGGGAUUUCAGACCAAAGUCUUCGAGGAAGGAUCAGGGACUUACACAUAUUCACAAUUUUUUCUGAAGAAAAUUGAGGGACUAAAUGAGAUGAUGGGUAUAAAGCGCCUGGACCCACACUAUGUGCUCAACAGUUCUCACUAUUUCAGGUCAGCGGCGGACCUGGAGCCAUGUCUGACUGCUCAGUGGACACGUUGCUAAAGGAAAUUUGCGUGCCUCUUCCAUCGUUCUCUGGAAUGAGCCAGCUUCAGCACCCAAUGCGCAGGAAACGUUGGGGGAUAAACCAUGAUCUGGAGCUGAAUCACUUGUUGGUUAAAGACAGUGCAUUUCGUGACCCAAUCAGAGAAGUCAUCGUUAAUGGCGCCAGAGAGAAGCCGGGGUGUCUGGCUCUGUGGUUCACCUUUAGACUGCACCCACCUCGGCGAUGACAAUACGCAGCGUGGCAACUCCACCGUCCUUUGUUAGCCCGGCCUUGUGGAACCUGAGUUACCCAUGGCUGCAGGAGAUGCUGCGAGACUCAUGAGAAACUCACAUGUGAUAAAGACAAAGAACCCAGGGACAAAUCACGUCCCACUUUUAAAAGUUUCAUUUCUACUGAUAGAACUAUCCAGAAUCUUAAGGCUGAAACGAAAUCAUGCGUUUUGCUCAGUCCAUUUGGGCUGCUAUCAGGAAAUCCCACAGACUGGGUGGUUUAUAAAUAACAGAAAGGUAUUGCUCACAGUCUGGAGGCUGGAGGUCUGACUUCAGGAUGCCAGCACGACUGAGCCAGGGCCCUCUUGCAGGUCACAGACUUCUCUCUGUAUCCUCACCUGGCGGAGGGGCCAGGGAGCUCUGGGGGGUCUCCGUUACAAAGGCAGUAAUGCCAUCAUCAGAGGGCCCCAUCCUCAUGACCUGCGCUCUCCCAGGUCCCACCUCCUAAUGCCAUCACCUUAGUCACUGGGAUUUCAACAUGCGAAUCUGGGGGAACACAACUGUUCAGACCACAGUAUGCUUCAAGGAUGGACUUUGAUAAUGGAGAAAAAGUAGCAACAAACAAAUGAAAACUCACUCAAAACACCCAAAUUCGUUUUAUUCAGGGGGUCGCUAUAGUUUAGGUCCACUUAAAAUUUAUCUAACAAAUUACUUGCAUGGCUCCUCUUUCCUCAAAAAAAAAAAGAGAGAGAGAAGAAAUUUGCUAUCCUUAAUUCCUAAUGAACAUGG